UUUUCAUACUAGUACUAUAUAUAUAUAUUCCAUAGGAAUACAGGAGAAGAAAACUUAGAAGAAAAAUAGAGGGAGGAAAAAUAGAAAUAGAAGAGAGGAUCGGAGCUUUUAAAUCAGGAGUCAGAAUCACGAAUUUGGUAAAAGUAUAUAUCGUAAUCAGGAAUAAGAUAUCAGUGAAAUUUUUCGUUGACGUGGGUCGUAGGAACUCCACAUAUUAUCAGGGUCAGGCGGCUGACACGUUUUGACAACCUUCUCCUCCUCAUCAUUUUUGCAUGUAGAUAAAUGUAUAGUAUAUAGAGUGGUGAGAGGGUCCCACUGCUUUUAAGAAUGGUUUGAAAUAUGUACUUGAUAAAUGUUGGAUUUUGAAAUUAUAUAAUAUGUGCGUUUUAUGUACUUGAAGUUUGGU